AUUAGAGGCUUUUAUGAAAAAACUAUAAAAAAUGAGCUUGCUAUAGCAAGAAACUCUAAACUAUUCCAGUGUUCUCCUCCCCAUGAGAAACACAUUAUAUAGGCUCAAGCAAU
rnacentral:snoRNA from 1 species